UACGAAGGGGGCUAGCGUUGCUCGGAAUUACUGGGCGUAAAGGGAGCGUAGGCGGAUAGUUUAGUCAGAGGUGAAAGCCCAGGGCUCAACCUUGGAAUUGCCUUUGAUACUGGCUAUCUUGAGUACGGAAGAGGUAUGUGGAACUCCGAGUGUAGAGGUGAAAUUCGUAGAUAUUCGGAAGAACACCAGUGGCGAAGGCGACAUACUGGUCCGUUACUGACGCUGAGGCUCGAAAGCGUGGGGAGCAAACAGGG
rnacentral:rRNA from 1 species